rnacentral:misc_RNA from 1 species
AAGUCGUAACAAGGUUUCCGUAGGUGAACCUGCGGAAGGAUCAUUAAUAAAAUGAUAAUUUUUUGGGGUUUUUUAACCUCAAAAAAUAAUUCACCUUUUGUGCAUUGUUAUUAGAUAUACUUUGGUUAGAGCUUUGAUUUCAUUUUUUGAAAUCAACUUCUUGCUGACUCUAUCCUUUCUGAGGACAGUUGGCUAUGAAGCGGCCUACCAAGGUUUUUUAUCAAACACUUGUAUUUUGUCUGACCUAAAAUCAAAUAAUUAAAUCAUAACUUUCAACAACGGAUCUCUUGGCUCUC